rnacentral:rRNA from 1 species
GAUCCUGGCUCAGGAUGAACGCUAGCGGCAGGCUUAAUACAUGCAAGUCGAGGGGCAGCACGGUUAGCAAUAACUGGUGGCGACCGGCGCACGGGUGCGUAACACGUAUACAAUCUACCUUAAACAGGGGGAUAGCCUUUCGAAAGAGAGAUUAAUACCCCGUAAUAAAUUGAACGGCAUCGUUUGAUUUUGAAAGCUCCGGCGGUUUGAGAUGAGUAUGCGUCUGAUUAGCUAGUUGGUGAGGUAACGGCUCACCAAGGCGACGAUCAGUAGGGGAUCUGAGAGGACUAACCCCCACACUGGUACUGAGACACGGACCAGACUCCUACGGGAGGCAGCAGUAAGGAAUAUUGGUCAAUGGAGGCAACUCUGAACCAGCCAUGCCGCGUGCAGGAUGACGGCCCUAUGGGUUGUAAACUGCUUUUAUACAAGAGAAAACCCUGGUACGUGUACCAGGUUGAUAGUAUUGUAAGAAUAAGCAUCGGCUAACUUCGUG